rnacentral:rRNA from 1 species
UACACUCCUGCGGGAGGCAGCAGUGGGGAAUAUUGCACAAUGGGCGCAAGCCUGAUGCAGCCAUGCCGCGUGUAUGAAGAAGGCCUUCGGGUUGUAAAGUACUUUCAGCGGGGAGGAAGGCGAUAAGGUUAAUAACCUUGUUGAUUGACGUUACCCGCAGAAGAAGCACCGGCUAACUCCGUGCCAGCAGCCGCGGUAAUACGGAGGGUGCAAGCGUUAAUCGGAAUUACUGGGCGUAAAGCGCACGCAGGCGGUCUGUCAAGUCGGAUGUGAAAUCCCCGGGCUCAACCUGGGAACUGCAUUCGAAACUGGCAGGCUAGAGUCUUGUAGAGGGGGGUAGAAUUCCAGGUGUAGCGGUGAAAUGCGUAGAGAUCUGGAGGAAUACCGGUGGCGAAGGCGGCCCCCUGGACAAAGACUGACGCUCAGGUGCGAAAGCGUGGGGAGCAAACAGGAUUAGAAACCCGUGUAGUCCCA